CACGUAGGGGGCGAGCGUUGUCCGGAUUUAUUGGGCGUAAAGAGCUCGUAGGCGGUUCGGUAAGUCGGGUGUGAAAACUCUGGGCUCAACUCAGAGACGCCACCUGAUACUGCCGUGACUGGAGUCUGGUAGGGGAGUGUGGAAUUCCCGGUGUAGCGGUGAAAUGCGCAGAUAUCGGGAGGAACACCAGUGGCGAAGGCGGCACUCUGGGCCAGUACUGACGCUGAGGAGCGAAAGCGUGGGGAGCGAACAGG
rnacentral:rRNA from 1 species